GUGCCAGCCGCCGCGGUAAUACGGAGGAUCCAAGCGUUAUCCGGAUUUAUUGGGUUUAAAGGGUGCGUAGGCGGCUUUUUAAGUCAGGGGUGAAAGACGGUGGCUCAACCAUCGCAGUGCCUUUGAUACUGAAGAGCUGGAUUAAACUUGAGGUAGGCGGAAUGUGACAAGUAGCGGUGAAAUGCAUAGAUAUGUCACAGAACACCGAUUGCGAAGGCAGCUUACUAAGGUUUUAAUGACGCUGAGGCACGAAAGCGUGGGGAUCAAACAGGAUUAGAAACCCUAGUAGUCC
rnacentral:rRNA from 1 species